CCUGACUUCUGGUUGUGCUGCUGAGACUUGUUCUUUCAGUAGGUGAAACACAUUCAUAUUGCAGUGUAAUCGUGGGCAUUGUGGAUGGCACAGUGGUGGAAAUGGGAACACACACAGAGCUGAUGGGGGAAAAAGGAGUCAGAUUAUUCACUUCCAACCUCACAGGAAGGAAAGGCUACUAAGAAGUUGUAUUAGUACAGAGGAACACAGAAAUUCCUAAGGAGGAAACAGCCUUCAAUACCAACUUAGGGAGAAAAAAAAUGAUGCAGAAGGAACAGAGCUACUACAUCAUAUGCUGUUCUUUGCUACAACUUUUCACUUUUUGCUGUGAUCAUUAUUUCUCAUAUUUAAGUAUUUCUUAUGUUGAAAAGCUGUCCAUUUUGUCUGAAUAGGGCUUAAUUACUGUCCUGUAGGUUUUUGGUUUUUUUCUUUUUUAAUUUGAAACCAGCAGUUAUUUUUAUAGUUUUCUGACCUGCAAAUACUUCUGCUCUGAUAUGUGAGAGAGAGACAGUUUUCUUUGAGUGACCCAUGCAAAGUAAGCGUUAAUUUAUG